AACUUACACAGUUGAGUUUAAUGUCCAUUCAUUUUAAUUUAGUUAUUUAUAUUCACAAAAACACUUUUCAAACCCCCCCUUUUUCGUGUUAGACUUGACUCUGAACCGCAGUUGGUCCUUGAGAGACGACCUAUGGGUCAUUCCUUAGCAUUAUACUGCAUUUCUAAAUUGCAAUCAAAUUUGUAUGGGCCGCGACACCCAUCACAGAGCUAAUGAAAAAAACGUACCAAAACUAAAUAAAGAAAGAGUGUAGGCUGC
rnacentral:lncRNA from 1 species